rnacentral:rRNA from 1 species
UAGGGAAUAUUAGUUAAUGUGCGAAAGCGCGAGCUAGCAACGCCGCGUGUGCGAUGAAGGCCUUCGGGUCGUAAAGCACUUUUCUAAGGGAUGAGGAAGGACAGUACCUUAGGAAUAAGCAUCGGCUAACUACGUGCCAGCAGCCGCGGUAAAACGUAGGAUGCGAGCGUUAUCCGGAUUUACUGGGCGUAAAGCGCGUGUAGGCGGUUCGGUAAGUUGGAUGUGAAAGCUCCCGGCUUAACUGGGAGAGGUCGUUCAAUACUGCCGGGCUAGAGGAUAGUAGAGGGAGGUGGAAUUCCGAGUGUAGUGGUGAAAUGCGUAGAUAUUCGGAGGAACACCAGUGGCGAGAGCGGCCUCCUGGACCAUUUCUGACGCUCAGACGCGAAAGCUAAGGUAG